rnacentral:tRNA from 1 species
GCAGGUAUAGCUCAGAGGUAGAGUGUGUGCUUAGCAUGCAUGAGGUCCUGGGUUCAAGCCUCAGUACCUCCA